rnacentral:lncRNA from 1 species
ACGCCGUUUCUAUAUUAUAAGAGUACCACCAAGAAUUUUUUUAAACGCUCGCCAGUGCUUUGAUAUAGCCGGAACCGUUUAGGUGCGACACAGUGCCGCAGUUUACCCAUUUAAAGCGUAAAUUAUUUAAAAUUGCUUAUUCAAAAUGGGGUAGUUGAUCAUUAGUCACUCAUUUAGAGUACAAAUAGACUCAAAAAACCCAAAAGCAGAAAACUGCAAAUUCUUGGCAAGGGAAAAAUACGCAACAAUGAAUUCAAAAUCCAAUUUAAAAACGUCAAAAAUUUUCCAAUUAAAACCGGAAAACGAUUAUACCUGUGUGGAACAAGGCCAAAGCUAUAAAACCUGCGUGAGCGAAAAAGCGGAAUAGUGUGCGCCUUAUGAUAUCUGCUCUCUGUCUCACCAGUGCAAGUUCUAGCUUUUGCCUUGUUCCUCCAUAUUCUCCCCCGAAAAAAUCGCCCUGCAAAUGCAAUUAUUUACGCACCCUCUAACACAGUGCAUUUCAAUUCGAUUUCCAAAUCAAAUACCCAAAUAAAGCUGCAAUUAAGGAGCUUUUUCAACUCGAUUUUCGCAUCGAAACAAGCGAAAUUCAUCUGCAGUAUAUUGCAAAAACCCCAUAGGAAACGCCUAUGAAACCCGGUCGGUACCACCGUCGGUUACAUGACCAGCUUUGGUCUUUCUUCAUUUGUUAAUACCAGUUAAUACUGUUGGGCGCUUUCACAUUUCACCGAGAUGAAGUGGGUGCCUUUAAACCUGUUAUUGACAUUACGAGUGUAGGACAUAUAACAAGGCUUAUAUGGCUAUACAUACUUAUAAUACAAAGCUAUAUUAUGGUGUAGGAAAAACAGCCACAUUAUGCAACCAAUAAAAUUUGAAAAAGAAUAGGGUAGAUCAGGCCUGGUCAGGGCCAGUAUCAGGCAAAUUGUUGAGUGGAUUUUUUCGCUUUUGAACGGAAAUCUUUGGGAAUUGUACAGCCGAAACUUAGGAGCAAGUGAUAGAAACAAAAAUUUAAAUUUAAAUUAAUUUAAAUAAAUAAAACACACAGCCAGUAGGUUUAUGUAGAGAAAACUGAUUUAGCAAUGAACACUUUUGCGCCAUAAUAACUACCUCACAGUUCUUCAUCCUCUGGUCAUUCCAGACACAUUCAAAUUUCCCUCUCUUUGGCAUUGGCGCUGUCCCGAAAAUCCCUAGGGAUUUUCCAGUGGCUUAUCCGCACAAUUCAUGACAUGUUGAUGGUCUUUUUCGUCAUUUUAACUCUGUUCUACUGUUUGUGCAAGUAUUUGCUCGAUUUUAAGGCCAGCAGGCGGCAUGCCCCGUAUAAAGACAAAUCGUUCCUGGUCUAGCUCGAGCCCCUUUCAACGCAAGCACUGCGAUGGCCCCAAAAAGUUGAGACAGUUUUGCCAGCGUUACUUUCCGGUAAGCGACUAAUGGGCAAUGACUAGAGCAACAACUAGUAGCUUAUGGCUAAAUAAAUAUACGCACAUCAGAGCCCCAUUGCUUCACUUGCAUCUAAGAUGUAGGAGAACUUCUUGUGCUGAUAUAGAAAAACUUACCCUGCGUAUCAAGUAGAGGCAAGCUAUUGGAGGCAACAGGGGCUGCACUGGAGUGAAUGCACAGGCACAAAAACACUAGCACUAAUAAAAGGGGCCCCUUUUGAGACUGGCUAAUUUUAACCUGGCUUUCAAAAACUAGCCGUCAGUUUUUGGGAACUUUGGCAAUGUCGCUUGGGCCUGGAUAUUUAAUAAAUAUUUUUCAUUUAUCCCAG